ensembl:lncRNA
GAGCUGUCUGCGCUUGUCUUCAGAAGGGAAGAAGCAAGAUCUAAGGAGGGGGCUGAGUGCAAGACCUCUCCUGAGCAUCCAGGAGGGCCACGUGCCUACUUCUAGCCGAAGUGACAUAGAUGCAAUUGACAUAAACCACUUCCAUCCCUAGCCCACCAAACAUUCACCCUGCUCAGUGUGCCCCCUGAUCUUGUUGAGGAGCAAAGAUAUCCCCAAGAUGGAAAGGCUUUCCGAAUGUGGAGCCUCUGAUGAUAACCUAAACGUGAACGCAAAGCAAAGAUGGUCAGAAAGGCGGGGGUGAGUCAUCAUGAAAACAAAAUAAAGAAGAAGAAGAAGUAAAAAAGAAACCAACACCCAACUAUCACAGAAAGAACACUUCAAAGCUGCCCACAUCUGAUCACUGACAAAGUGCUUGUUGAAUACAGCUUUAUUGAUAGUGAGGAGAUUAUAAACAGGAUAUACCUUUUAGUUUGUUGUUCCUUAUACAGUACAAGAAUGUUUUAAGCAAACAAAGAAAUUUUGGGCCAAAAUUUGAUGAAUAAACACAAAGAUUUUUAAGGAGUAUUCAAGACAAGUAUUUUAUUUCUGGUUCCCUGAGAGGGGCAUUUAAAUGCUCUUUACUUUCUCAAUGUGGUGAAGGGUAAAAUUGUUAGUUUUAGAAUCUUCUCAUAAUUAUGAUGGAGGAGUGUUUAGGAAACCAGUCUGCAGUUUUUAAAAAGCAUGUAUUGAAAAAUAAUUCCUUUGAAUUAUUUUUGUGCUGGAGAAUAUACUCAUCAGUGGCUGGGCUGGGAAUUCUAGUUUAUUCAGAGAAGACUCAUUCAGAGUAGAUGGCAUAAACUCAUUUCUUUGUAACUCUGGAAGAAAAAUAAGUGAAGUGAUAUUAGUUUCUUUUAUCUAAUAACUUGGAUGAAUUUGGAAGAUAUUUGGCCAGGGUAACCAGCAAAAGAUGGACCUCUUAACACUU